UCGCCAACGAAACUCGAAGCCUUUAUGGUGGCUUCGAGACAACAAUCAGGUCCGAAGAAAUGAGGAUUCCACCCCUGCGGUCCGCCGUCAAGAUGGGAUCUGAUGUUAGCCCUGAUAGUUCGGUGACACUCGGUCGACGGGUGUCCUCGAACACCCUUCGAUAGCGACCACACCCAUUAUAUGGGUGUGAUCCCGCCUAACCCCCCGGCAUUGUGCCGGGAUACAUUCCGGUUGAUCCUGCCGGAGGCCAUUGCUAUCGGAGUCCGAUUUAGCCAUGCUAGUCGCACGGGCUUAGACCCGUGGCAUAUAGCUCAGUAACACGUGGCCAAACUACCCUACAGACCGCGAUAACCUCGGGAAACUGAGGCCAAUAGCGGAUAUAACUCUCAGGCUGGAGUGCAGAGAGUUAGAAACGUUCCGGCGCUGUAGGAUGUGGCUGCGGCCGAUUAGGUAGAUGGUGGGGUAACGGCCCACCAUGCCGAUAAUCGGUACGGGUUGUGAGAGCAAGAACCCGGAGACGGUAUCUGAGACAAGAUACCGGGCCCUACGGGGCGCAGCAGGCGCGAAACCUUUACACUGCACGACAGUGCGAUAGGGGGACUCCGAGUGCGAGGGCAUAUAGCCCUCGCUUUUCUGUACCGUAAGGUGGUACAGGAACAAGGACUGGGCAAGACCGGUGCCAGCCGCCGCGGUAAUACCGGCAGUCCGAGUGAUGGCCGAUAUUAUUGGGCCUAAAGCGUCCGUAGCCGGCCGGACAAGUCCGUUGGGAAAUCGACGCGCUCAACGCGUCGGCGUCCAGCGGAAACUGUCCGGCUUGGGGCCGGAAGACCUGAGGGGUACGUCCGGGGUAGGAGUGAAAUCCUGUAAUCCUGGACGGACCACCAAUGGGGAAACCACCUCAGGGAAGACGGACC
rnacentral:rRNA from 1 species